UUUUUGUUUAUGUGCAGCUUGACUGAUCUUAUCUAACAGGAAUCUUAUGCCGAAUACAUUCCUCUCUGUGUCAGGGUACACCAUGUUUUGCAUAACUGCCACAGCCACUGGCGCCCAAUCAAAAAGAGCAGCUCUGUGCCUUUUCACCCUCUAGGGAUUCUAGUGAUAAUUUGUGAUAAGGUCUCAAAACUAUUGCACAACAACUGGAUCUUUGUUUUAUGUUUGCAUGUGUGACAGUAGCUAUAUAGUAUGGGACAAAAAACAAGAGGGAAAAAAUGAGGAGCAUAUAGAUAGUAUAGAUCUCCUCAAAGGCAUCCUAUCUCGCAAUGGAUUACGUAAGAAACAUGGAGAUGAAUAGAUGGAUAAUACACGGAUUGACAGAGAGGCUGUGAAAGCAUGCAACAUUAAGCGUGGGUAAGAAGGAAUGCAGUCCAAGUCAAACACAGGAAGUAGUGGAGACAGAAAUGCUCCUCUACUGCCGGAGACCCCACCUCGGCUGUGCGGUCAUCUCCCCUCUGCUCUCACCCACGCGUGUGUGAAGGAACGGCGUGCAACAGCUUGUAAAAUCUGAGUGAGGAGUAAAGAGGAAGGGCCCGGCUCCUCCCACUAUGUAAAGGCAAGAGACUGUUAAACCCUCCCUUUGGCUGCAUGCUUUGGGAGUCACUUCCACUGAAUGUGCAGUGCAAUCUGAUAUAGUACUGCAGAUGUUUGUCCAGGUGUGAA